CCUACGGGAGGCAGCAGUGGGGAAUAUUGGGCAAUGGACGCAAGUCUGACCCAGCAACGCCGCGUGAAGGAAGAAGGCUUUCGGGUUGUAAACUUCUUUUAAGGGGGAAGAGCAGAAGACGGUACCCCUUGAAUAAGCCACGGCUAACUACGUGCCAGCAGCCGAGGUAAUACGGAGGUGGCAAGCGUUGUCCGGAUUUAAUGGGGUUAAAGGGCGUGCAGCCGGGGGGACAAGUCAGGUGUGAAAUCCACGGGCUCAACCCGUGAACUGCAUUUGAAACUGUUUCCCUGGAGUGUCGGAGAGGUAAUCGGAAUUCCUUGUGUAGCGGUGAAAUGCGUAGAUAUAAGGAAGAACACCAGUGGCGAAGGCGGAUUACUGGACGAUAACUGACGGUGAGGCGCGAAAGCGUGGGGAGCAAACAGGAUUAGAUACCCGGGUAGUC
rnacentral:rRNA from 1 species